rnacentral:lncRNA from 1 species
AGUGGAGUAUUUGCAGGGUUGGCCUGGAGCCCAGCAUGCGCCCCCUCCCACACAUCCAGGACAGGGAUCUGGACGGCUGUGGGUUCAGAUCCCCUGGAAAGUGAGAGCCGUUUCUUCACUAGAUACUUUCCCUCCAGUGUCCCAGUAUUGGUGGCCACAGUGGGAGCCCCUUACAGCUGGCUCUUGAGUCUUGUUGACACAUCCCAUCAUUCUUUGUGGCCGGUGUCUCCACAGGCACCAGUGCUAUGAUUGAUGGCUGCACGGAAUACCCUUACUGGCCCAAACCAAAGGCCCAUCCAGCUUAGUCUGCCUGAGAAGGACCAAAGCUGACGUAGCUUUCCAUGUUUUCUGCCUGAGAGAACCUGUGCAGCUCUCCACUGGCACAGUGAAAGCAUCUCCUAGGGGUGAGUUCAAAACAGUUCCCUGACAUGUCUUGGAAAUAGUGCUACUGGGGACAAAAUCAAAACUAAUGUUACCUGGGGCAAUGGGAAGUGCGUUCUGCAUGUAAUUUACACUGGAACUUGAUAUGACUACUGUAAAAACUAUAAAUGAAUAUGAUCCUUA